ensembl:lncRNA HRAT17 heart tissue-associated transcript 17
GAGGAGAUAAGUGACAUAAACUGGCAUGUUCUGAAAGAAUCACUCUGGAUGCUGUGUGGAGAAAACACUGAAAAGAAUUCUAGAGUGAAAGUUUCAUGAAUAUAAGAAGCAAGACAAGGAAGUGGCUUAUGCUUAAGGCCUUAAAGGCAACCACUGUGACAAUCCAGCCAUUCUCUGGAGAAUUCAGCAGAAAGCCAGUUGGAAGUAAUGUUUUCUGUUUGUUUUUCUCUUUUUUGCCCUCCUGGCUAUAAUGAGAAACCCAAGAAAAUAAGUCUUUCCAUUGCAGGACAGCUAAAUUGCACAAGCAUUCAAAUUUCUCCCCUUUGACUCAUACUCUGUCAUCUCUAUUUUGGCUUCCACUUUUGGAGAAGGUCUCCACCCCCUACCCCGGCCCUCUCCUCACUGCCCCAUGCUUUGAGUGCAAACACUCCAGAUUUUCAACCUUCUCCCCUCCAUUUCCCACUUCUCUUUCCCAAGAAUCGAAGCUUUUUCUGUAAUAAAUCUCUAAAUCAACUAAACUGCUAUACAGAUUUACAUUAGGUUUUGAUUGUUGAUUAUGGCUUAUUCCAAAAAUAAUUUCCAUUUUAGAAAAGCAUUCAAUGCCCAAACACAAAAGUAUUCAUAAACUUAAGGUAAGAAUUUCAGGCACUGUAUUUUAUCCACUAGAUUAAGGAACCAAGCAGUCCUUUUUGCCUUUCAAAUCAUUCUAAGUAAUCAGCUGCUUGUUCUGCUAUAUAAAGAACUAUCUCUGCUCUUUGUACUAUCUCUGCUCUUUAAACUCAUGCAGUUAUUCAUUCAAUAACUACUUACUAAGCCUGAGCCACAUACAGAGUACUGGCCUGGCAACUGUCAACAUUUCUUCAACAGCCCAGCAGGCAGCUUUUCCUACCUCUCACUAAAAUACCAAUAAAAACACAGAAGAACGGAGCUCACUGCAGCACUGACAAUCAAGAUGGAAGCCAGCCUACCUCUGGCUGUGGGAAAGAUUGAUGAUUCUAAAGCAGAGAGAGACAUCUUCUCAGAUAUAAGCACAUAGCAUUUCCCACCUUCAAUCUACAAAAAAA